CCUGGUGUUGGUUGAUAUUAUUUGCAUACAGGAAAGUUGAUGAGUGGGGAUGGAGAAGAAAUAAGUAUUACAUUGAAAUAAUGGCUCUCUCUCUCUCUCUCUCUCUCUCUCUCUCUCUCUCUCUCUCUCUCCCUCCUUUCCAGGCUUCCAGCCACCAAUAUUAGUGAUAGUAACCCCACAGAGACCAAAUCUUUAGAGCUGUUCUAUUCUUUGGAUUUUUCUCUUUGACUUAACUGUAAUUUGAUACUCAGCUGUCCACUAAAUAGUAUAUUUCUAAUUAGGGUAAAUUUAUACAUACAUUAUCUUUACUCCCUUCUUUCCGAAACGCAGGUAUUUUUGUCGUUUUGCUUCUUCUUCUUUUUUUAAUUCUUUGCCCACCUUCUAAUUUCUUGUCCUGUCUUUUAGUUUCUAUCUCUACCAGUCCUAUAUGCAUCCAGUUACCAUCUGCAUCCAGUCCCCCAUUCGUCUGCAUAUGCACUGAGUUACAGUCCAUCUGCACCUUUUUUUUAUAUGCCCAAUGAUCGUAUAGUUGUUUGUUGCUCGUCUUCCCGAAAAUCUCUUUCCAAUCUGUCACUGACGCCCGGGAUUUUUUGUGCGGAGUGAGGACCGGCGGCUUGUAAAGGAUAUAACAAUUUAGGGCAAUUCAAUGUUACUUCUUCAAAUUUAACUUAUGAAUAUUCUGCUGUAGCAUUAGGAAUGAAUCAUGGUUAACAAUUAAGGCAGAAUAGUGAUGACUUGUUUGGAGUCUCUAAAUUAAUCCUAUUCCCAAAAUACAAAAAUGAAGAAGCCAGAUCUUCAUCUUUUUUCUCAGUUGAACUGGAAGUAUUUUUCCCAGAUAUCAAGAGGACAAAUAAAUGGGAGUAGGAUGUGAAAAUGAUCUUUUUUUGGGAAGUAUUACAACAUAAAUAAGCACAACUCCCUCCAAAAUUGGAGAUAUGAAUGUGAUUAUGAUAAAUCGAACAAGGCUUAUUUGUGAUGAAAGUGGUGGUCAUAGAUUAUAUGAACAUGUACAUGAGAAAAAGGUUGGCUGCAUUUCAUAGAUCUAACCCAAGCAACCAUGAAGAUUAAGAAAACAAGCCUCCUAAUAGAGGAGUAACGAAAGUUGUAUGAUUCUGUGCUCUUCAUUUGUGGACGAAGGGGGACAGCUGGUAGAGAGAGAAAUUAAAAGGCAGGACAAGAAAGGAGAAGGUGAGCAAAGAAUUAAAAAAUAAAAAAAGAGAGAAGCAAAACAACUUAAGUAGCUGUGUUUCGGGAAGGAGGGAGUAAAGAUGAUG
rnacentral:lncRNA from 1 species